AUGAACGCUGGCGGCGUGCCUAAUACAUGCCAGUCGCGCGAACAGAUAAGGAGCUUGCUCCUUUGACGUUAGCGGCGGACGGGUGAGUAACACGUGGGUAACCUACCUAUAAGACUGGGAUAACUUCGGGAAACCGGAGCUAAUACCGGAUAAUAUUUCGAACCGCAUGGUUCGAUAGUGAAAGAUGGUUUUGCUAUCACUUAUAGAUGGACCCGCGCCGUAUUAGCUAGUUGGUAAGGUAACGGCUUACCAAGGCGACGAUACGUAGCCGACCUGAGAGGGUGAUCGGCCACACUGGAACUGAGACACGGUCCAGACUCCUACGGGAGGCAGCAGUAGGGAAUCUUCCGCAAUGGGCGAAAGCCUGACGGAGCAACGCCGCGUGAGUGAUGAAGGUCUUCGGAUCGUAAAACUCUGUUAUUAGGGAAGAACAUACGUGUAAGUAACUGUGCACGUCUUGACGGUACCUAAUCAGAAAGCCACGGCUAACUACGUG
rnacentral:rRNA from 1 species